GUUGAUAAUUAGAUGACAUAUGUUGCAAAUCCACUUUCCUGAACCAACAUAAUUCUGGGGGAAGGGAGUUCAGGGUAAAUAGGUGGUUCCAUUUAAAAAAUGCCCAUAUUUUCAUAACAUGUCUUCAAAUUUGGAUAUACCUUUCCAAUAGUCUGCGGAUAUUUUUUCCAAGAUUGUAGAUUUUGCAUGUUGUCGGUCUCUUUCAGUCAUUUAAAAAAUUAUCACCGUAAAAGAAUCUUCUAACAAUUUAGUUCACUAUCAUCAGCAUGUAUAUAUACACAUAGGUUCUUGCGAAAAAACAAACUUUAACAUGUUCAAGGUCACCUUUAUCAUGAUACACUGUAA